rnacentral:rRNA from 1 species
AGUGAACGCUGGCGGUAGGCCUAACACAUGCAAGUCGAACGGCAGCACAGUAAGAGCUUGCUCUUACGGGUGGCGAGUGGCGGACGGGUGAGGAAUACAUCGGAAUCUACUUUUUCGUGGGGGAUAACGUAGGGAAACUUACGCUAAUACCGCAUACGACCUACGGGUGAAAGCAGGGGAUCUUCGGACCUUGCGCGAUUGAAUGAGCCGAUGUCGGAUUAGCUAGUUGGCGGGGUAAAGGCCCACCAAGGCGACGAUCCGUAGCUGGUCUGAGAGGAUGGUCAGCCACACUGGAACUGAGACACGGUCCAGACUCCUACGGGAGGCAGCAGUGGGGAAUAUUGGACAAUGGGCGGAAGCCUGAUCCAGCCCUACCGGGUUGGUGAAGAAGGCCUUCGGGUUGGAAAGCCCUUUUGUUGGGAAAGAAAAGCAGCAGGUUAAUACCCCGCUGUUCUGACGGUACCCAAAGAAUAAGCACCGGCUAACUUCGUG